GAAAAUGCUAGCAUAGAUUGUGGAAGGGCUGAAGCAAUUAUGCGAGAGGGUGGCAUACGCCUCCUUCUUGGCCUGGCAAAAUCUUAGAGGGAAGGACUUCAGUCUGAGGCAGCUAAGGCCAUUGCAAAUUUGUCCGUCAAUGCCCAUGUCGCCAAAGCUGUUGCAGAAGAGGGUGGGAUUGAGAUUCUCGCUAGUUUGGCUAGGUCAACAAACAAACUGGUGGCUGAAAAGGCUGCUGGAGGGUUAUGGAAUCUCUCUAUUGGAGAGGAGCACAAGGGCGCCAUUGCUGAGGCUGGUGGAAUAAAAGUUUUAGUGGAACUUAUAUUCAAGUGGUCUUCUAGUGGAGAUGGAGUUUUAGAACGUGCAGCUGGUGCAUUGGCUAAUUUGGCAGCUGAUGACAAGUGUAGCACAGAGGUUGCACUGGCUGGAGGUGUACAUGCUCUAGUAAUGCUUGCUCGUAAGUGCCAAUUUGAGGGAGUGCAAGAGCAGGUAGUACUGCUUUCUGUUAUUUGGUUAUCAUGUCAUCUAUUUUAGUUACGAAAACCUUUGAAGCUACUUUAUUAGGUAGCUAAUAGCUGCCAAUUGAAAAUUGAAACUCUUGAUAGUUGCUUAAAUAUGUUUUAUAAUUGUGUUCAUGAUUGAUAAUUGUUAUUUCCUUUUU